GACGAACGCUGGCGGCGUGCCUAAUACAUGCAAGUAGAACGCUGAAGGAGGAGCUUGCUUCUCUGGAUGAGUUGCGAACGGGUGAGUAACGCGUAGGUAACCUGCCUGGUAGCGGGGGAUAACUAUUGGAAACGAUAGCUAAUACCGCAUAAGAGUAGAUGUUGCAUGACAUUUGCUUAAAAGGUGCAAUUGCAUCACUACCAGAUGGACCUGCGUUGUAUUAGCUAGUUGGUGGGGUAACGGCUUACCAAGGCGACGAUACAUAGCCGACCUGAGAGGGUGAUCGGCCACACUGGGACUGAGACACGGCCCAGACUCCUACGGGAGGCAGCAGUAGGGAAUCUUCGGCAAUGGACGGAAGUCUGACCGAGCAACGCCGCGUGAGGGAAGAAGGUUUUCGGAUCGUAAAGCUCUGUUGUAAGAGAAGAACGAGUGUGAGAGUGGAAAGUUCACACUGUGACGGUAUCUUACCAGAAAGGGACGGCUAACUACGUG
rnacentral:rRNA from 1 species